GGGCCAAUAGCUCAGAAGAAAAGAACACGUGGCUACGAACCACGGUGUCGGGGGUUCGAAUCCCUCCUCGCCCA
rnacentral:tRNA from 1 species